rnacentral:rRNA from 1 species
CCGCCGCGGUAAGACGUAGGACGCGAGCGUUAUCCGGAAUUACUGGGCGUAAAGGGCCAGCAGGCGGCUUGGUAAGUUGUGCGUGAAAGCCUCGUGCUCAACGCGAGGAAGCCGGACAAUACUGUCAAGCUAGAGGGCAUCAGAGGGGAGUGGAAUUCCCGGAGUAGCGGUAAAAUGCGCAGAUAUCGGGAGGAACACCGAUGGCGAAGGCAGCUCCCUGGGAUGCACCUGACGCUAAGAGGCGAAAGCUAGGGGAGCGAACAGGAUUAGAGACCCUGGUAGUCCUAGCUGUAAACGCUGGGUGCUAGGUGUGGGACGUAGAAGUUCCGUGCCGGAGCAAACGCGAUAAGCACCCCGCCUGGGAAUUACGGUCGCAAGGCUAAAACUCAAACGAAUUGACGGGGCCCCGCACAAGCAGCGGAGCGUGUGGUUCAAUUCGAUGCUACACGAAGAACCUUACCUGGGUUUGACAUGUACGUGGUACGAAGGCGAAAGCCUAAGGACCCUUCGGGGAGCGUACACAGGUGCUGCAUGGCUGUCGUCAGCUCGUGCCGUGAGGUGUCGGGUUAAGUCCCGUAACGAGCGCAACCCUUGCCCUUAGUUACAAGUGUCUAAGGGGACUGCCGGCGGGAAGCCGGAGGAAGGUGGGGAUGACGUCAAGUCAGCAUGGCCCUUAUGUCCAGGGCUACACACACGCUACAAUGGUCAGUACAAAGGGUAGCGAAGUCGCGAGGCGGAGCGAAUCUCAACAAAGCUGAUCGUAGUUCGGAUUGCAGGCUGCAACCCGCCUGCAUGAAGCUGGAGUUGCUAGUAACCGCGCGUCAGCCAUAGUGCGGUGAAUACGUACCCGGGG